rnacentral:misc_RNA from 1 species
CCGGUUUCCUGCGUUGCGUACCUACGCGAAGGCAUUACGUUGUUGUCCCAACGACCCUCGUUCGUGUAGAGCUCCCCUUUUUGGCGGGGCACAAGACGAAAGUUGCUGCUUGGUCCGUUACCCACGUCGCGUCCGGCUGUCGUGGUGAACGGGGCCUUGCUCUUAAGCUCUCGGAUACGGAAAUCAUUGAGGGGCACGGGCGGGUCGCCCUUGCCCGAGCACGCAUUAGAUCGGACCCUAACGACGACGGUGCACGACUGUCGCUCCCGCCUCGGUUCGUCCGUGCGGGCAGGACGUCGUCGAGGAAUGCUACCUGGUUGA